AAAAAAAAACCAUUCCAACUGCUCCAGAAAACAAAUUUAUCAGGUUGAAUGGGUUGGAUGCAACUCUAUUAAGUUUCGCGCUAGACAGUAAUUAGUCUCAAGUAUCAACAGUUCCAAGUGAAACCCAAAGCAUAAACAUCAAAAAAGUUCUCAAUUUCAAAAGGAACGCUAUCAAGGGUAAGAACAAUUGCAAAAUAAGAAAGUAACAAAAGGCACAAAAUCGAAACAGAUGGAGCAACUCAAUUUUGUUUCCCUACAACCAAUGAAACCAUAGGCCCUCAGAUACUCAUAAUCAAUACAAAAACCUUCAAUAAACUGUAAAGUAACAUGCAAUGAAAGAGCUUCAAAUUGAAAUUCUAAGGAUACUUUCACCAGAAAGAUA
rnacentral:misc_RNA from 1 species